rnacentral:rRNA from 1 species
UACAGAGGUCUCAAGCGUUGUUCGGAUUCAUUGGGCGUAAAGGGUGCGUAGGUGGCUUGGUAAGUCGGAUGUGAAAUCCCGGGGCUCAACCCCGGAACUGCAUUCGAUACUGCCAGGCUAGAGUACUGGAGAGGAGAUUGGAAUUUACGGUGUAGCAGUGAAAUGCGUAGAUAUCGUAAGGAAGACCGAUGGCGAAGGCGGAUCUCUGGACAGUUACUGACACUGAGACACGAAGGCAAGGGGAGCAAACGGG